rnacentral:RNase_P_RNA from 2 species
GAAGACAGCCAGACCGCCGCUGGUGCAAGGCCCGAAAGGGCGCACUGGAGGAAGGUCCGGACUGCACAGAGCAGCGUAGGAGGUAACACCUCUCCACCGCAAGGUGAGGAUCAGAGCAACAGAGACGAGCCGGUUCGGUCCGGGUGAAACGGGCAAUCUCUACGCGCAGCAACACCAAAUAGGCACACGUUGACCUGGCUCGGGGAGUGUGCGGGUAGGUGGCAUCGAGCCGCUCUGGCGACAGGCGGCCCAGAGGAAUGGCGGUCACGGUUUCUCGUCGCAAGGCGAGGGGCUGCACAGAAUCCGGCCUAUCGGCUGUCUUCACAC